rnacentral:rRNA from 1 species
UUCUGACCGUAAACGAUGCCAACUAGCGAUUCGGCGGUGGCUACAAGGCCCUGCUGAGGAGCUUCCCGGAAACGAAAGUCUUCCGGUUCCGGGGGAAGUAUGGUUGCAAAGCUGAAACUUAAAGGAAUUGACGGAAGGGCACCACCAGGAGUGGAGCCUGCGGCUUAAUUUGACUCAACACGGGAAAACUCACCCGGCCCGGACACCGUAAGGAUUGACAGAUUGAUAGCUUUUUCAUGAUUCGGUGGUUGGUGGUGCAUGGCCGUUCUUAGUUCGUGGAUCGAUUUGUCUGGUUUAUUCCGAUAACGAGCGAGACUCCAGCCUACUAACUAGUACGAGCAUUGCCUCUGUGCUCGGCACUUCUUAGAGGGAUUGACUGCGUCUAGCGGUACGAAACGGAGCAAUAACAGGUCUGUGAUGCCCUUAGAUGUCCGGGGCUGCACGCGCGCUACACUGGCAAAGGCAACGUGCUUGUCCGUCUCCGAAAGGAGCCGGUAAACCCUUGAAAAUUUGCCGUGAUUGGGAUCGGAAAUUGCAAUUAUUUUCCGUGAACGAGGAAUUCCUAGUAAGUGCGAGUCAUCAGCUCGCGUUG